rnacentral:lncRNA from 1 species
UUUUUUUUUUUUUUUUUUUAAUUUUUAUUUAUUUUUGACAGUCAUACAGAGAGAGAGAGAGAGAGAGGCAGAGACACAGGCAGAGGGAGAAGCAGGCUCCAUGCACCGGGAGCCCGACGUGGGAUUCGAUCCCAGGUCUCCAGGAUCGCGCCCUGGGCCAAAGGCAGGCGCCAAACCACUGCGCCACCCAGGGAUCCCCUGUACUGUGUCUUCCUGGCCUCCUCCUGUCCCAAGGGGAGCACCGGAUCCUGGGCUGUGUCCCCCAGCGCCUUGGGUUCCAUGUCCUGCACUGCUGGAAUCUCCCUCCCGAGGGGCGCGCAGCCCCCUCCGUGGGGAGCUGCCGCCUGAGCUGCUCCCGAGGGCCCGCGGGGCAUGCACUCCGGCCCUUUAGGGAGCUCCACCCGAGGUGUGUGGCACGCUCUCCCCUGGGGCACACUUCCUCUAUUAGAGACCCCAGGAACCUGGAGGCUCCACUGCCCCUCCUGGGAUCCUGCCCGAGUUGCCUGCAAGCCUUUCCCUCCAGGAAGAUCGAUAAAGUUUCUGCUUCUCCCGGACUGGGCUUUCAUGCCCUGGAGGCUCUCGCUGCCCAGCCUUAGCUGGGCUCCUCAUGAGGGCUCCUCCCUCUUGAAUGAUUUUUUUUUUCCAUCUUCCUACCUUGUUAGAGGCACAAACUGUUCUCACUGCAGCAUUCCAGCUGUUCUCUCUUUAAAUCUCAGGCCGAAUUACUAGGUUUUCGGGAUUAUUUGGAAGUUAUCUAGAUAAGUUGGUGGGGACAGGUGACUUGGGGAUCCUACUCUUCCGACAUCUUGCCCCACCUCCCCAAGAUUUUUUUUAAACUAGAAUAAAGUCAUAACAUCCCAGAAAAAUAGAAGAGUGCCAUCCACAGAUCAUAAAUAGUGGGCAAUCUCCAAAGGAACAGAAAACAAUAGAUCACAUCCACAGGGAAACAAAAUCUAUGGAAACCAAAGCUUCAAACACAUACGUGGAGAAUACUACUACAAAGUUAGGAUUUAUUUGGGAAGCACCAAACCUACUCACAGUGGAUACUAAAACAUGAAGUGGCUUUGGGGAAUUCAUCUGGAUGAUUAAAUGGGAAGGUAAAGGGGGAACAACCAGGCAAUUCUACCCAACCCAAACCUCUUUUGUGCAACAUAAGCAGCAAUGAAGUUUGCCCAAAAACUCAAACAGGAUCUGAACCAGAAAACCAGGAAUCACCAAACCCCUGAGAAACACCAAAGCUUAGAAAAAGAGAAGCACCGAACUCAAUAAAGUCUUUCUGACAAUUAACUUGAAGUAGGUAUUUAAUGCUGCCUGGCAGUCUUACUACCAUUUAUUUUAUCAUUCUCUUAGAAAACUAAUUUAUACCUUCUCCUCUCGCCUCAAACUUUUAACACAUACUCCCUCCCUCAAAUUCAUGCUCUGAUGAUGACCAUGCUUCUAUUUCAUCGAGAAAAUAAAAAAGAAACAAGAAAAGAAUUGCCAUAAGCUCCCACUACCACAUCUACUCACCUAUUAUCAUUUAUGCCCACACUCUCUGCCUUCACCCAUACUAUUAGGGGCAACCUGUCUGGGCUACUAUGCUAAGGCCAAACCCUCUAUUUAGAAACUAAACUUCAUCUCCUCUCACCUUCUCAAGAACAUCACUCCAGUAAUUCUCCUUUCUCUUUCCUAUAUGGCCAAUUUUCCCCUCACUUUGAAAUCAUUCCUAUUAUGAGACUGUAUCCCCAUUAAAACAAACCCUCACAAUCAGAAUCCAUUGAGCUAUGACCAAUUAUGAUGCUAGGGCAGGGAGGAAUUGAAUUAGCCUAUAAUAACUUGUUGUAAGAUAAGUUACAUUGUGUAAAUGUAGGUUCAAAGAAUGAUGGGGACAUGUCAAAAGUGUAAAGGAACAAGCUUGAAGAGGAUCCUACUAGCUUAAUAUGAGAUAGCUGAUGCAUCAAAAUAAUGAUACUAAUGAGUUAAAACCCAUAGAAUAAAAUAAAAAUCUCAGCAUAAUACCCUCCAGUUCCAUCCACGUUGAAGCAAAUGGUGGGUAUUUGUCAUUUCUAAUAGCUGAGUAAUAUUCCAUUGUAUACAUAAACCACAUCUUAUGCUGAGUGAAGUAAGUCAGUCGGAGAAGGACAAACAUUAUAUGUUCUCAUUCAUUUGGGGAAUAUAAAUAAUAGUGAAAGGGAAAAUAAGGGAAGGGAGAAGAAAUGUGUGGGAAAUAUCAGAAAGGGAGACAGAACGUAAAGACUGCUAACUCUGGGAAACGAACUAGGGGUGGUAGAAGGGGAGGAGGGCGGGGGGUGGGAGUGAAUGGGUGACGGGCACUGGGUGUUAUUCUGUAUGUUAGUAAAUUGAACACCAAUAAAAAAAAAUAAAUAUAAAAAAAAUAAUAAAAUAAAAUAAAAUAAAAUAAAAAUCUCUGUUACACAUUUAAAUAAAUCAAUUAAUAAAUAAAUGGCAAAGAAUGGAAAGCUGUAAUCUAAAUAAUAAAUACAGAAUUUGAAAAAUACCAUCUGCAAUCACCAUAGUAAAAACUGUUAUAGGCAACAAUCUUCAAAUGGCUACCAAAACUGUGAAUAAAGGUUUAUGAUAAACAUAGUCUCAAAGUAACUCCCCACAAAUUACUUAAUU